GUGACUGCCCCCAGCUCCCUCCCGGGACUGGCCACCUGGGGCAGCCGGCUUCCUCGCUUUUGGAAGAACUGGUUUAGCAAUCUGGCACUUUAAAGUCAAAUUAGUUAAGUGUCAGCCACCAGAAUGCAACUUCAAACAGAAGGCAACCACCUCGUCUGCUACCGCCUGCAGGCUCUUCGGACCAGUCCUGGCUGUGCAGCUAUUCUUAGUCGCGUCCCCCCACCCCCAGUCGGGAGUAGAAGUUAAAAGACUCUUCCACCUACAAUAAAGGGCUGUCCUCUCCCCCUCUA